rnacentral:lncRNA from 1 species
AUAAAUUACUACUUCUAUAUUUGAUUAUUAUUUUAUGAUAAAAAAAUAAAAAUAUAAAAUUAACAUAAAAAUUUUAAGAAACAAAAAAUAUAAACCUAUUAUUAAAUUUAAAAAAAAUAGUAUAUACUGCCUUCUUUAAAAAAAAAAGAAAUAAACAAAAAUAUAUUUAUUUCUAAAAAAAUAGUAAUUAGAAAAAAAAUUCACUUAUGAUUGUUGUUUAAAAUUUUGUACUAUUGAUUUGUCGUUGUUCUAAUAUACAUAAAAAUAUAUAGUUUCAAAGAAGGAACAAACAACUUCAUUUUACUUUUGACAUAUUAUAACAAUAACCAUGUUUUUUAAAUUACAAACAUUUUUGCUUUUGCCCAUAAUAUAUAUAAUGUUGUUGAAAUAUGUGAAGAACGGUAACAAUGUAAACAGAAGUUUUGAUUUAAAUAGUGGAAGAAAAUUAUUGGAAAAUGAUGUUGAGGUUACUGAAGACGCAUAUAAAGUACAAACUAAUUUACAACAUGAUGCUGUUGAUGAUUUAAAACUUAUAGAAAUUGUAAAGCAAAUAACAAACAUAUGGGACGAAUUAUUAGAUUAUGAAUUUAACAGAUGGCAACUUAUUAUGUAUCAUGUAGUUAAUAUCAUGGCAACACUUUGUACUAUCGUAAAUGAUUAUGACAAGUUGCUAAUUGAUUUUUAUACAGUAUGUAACAUAAUGGCGAUACAUCGACAAAAUGAAAUUAAUAAAAUUAAUUUAAUAUUUGAACAAUAUUUUAAUUUAGUGGAUGUGAACAAGUCGCAUUUCUUUGUUGGUACAUUAAGUCAGGCAGAAAAAACAUUAUUGAAUGAUUUAGAACAGACAAAUAAGAGGAUGCUAAUAGAAUGGUGUGAUUUUCAGAUUGAAUUUUGGAAAUGCUGGUUUCAAAAGCAAUUUUCGAAUUAUAACAUUUCGGGUACAGGUUUUUAAAGUAUUAUAAUGUUUAUGUAUUAUAUUGUAUAUAUACACAUAUAUAUAUAUAUAUAUGUGCGCGUGUAUUUGAAUGUAGUACACAUAAUAAUUAUACUUUGUUUUACUUUUUAUUUAAUCCCUUUUAACGUAUAUUUUUAUGUAUUAAAUUUAUAUAUUUAAUUUUUUUAAUCAUGUUGUGAUUCUGAAUGAUUGGUGUGCAGCUAUGUUUUACAUGUAUAUAUUUUUAAACAUGUCAGCUUGUUUUAUAUUUGAUAGAUAUAUUGAAAACUGUUUCGUUCUUUUUAUUAUUGUCCAUUGAUUAAUAAUAAUUUUGUUUUUAAUUAUUUAACUACAGUGAAAUAAAUAUAAAUAUAUGAAUUAUUUGUUAAUUUGU